rnacentral:rRNA from 1 species
UACGGGGGGGGCAAGCGUUGUUCGGAAUUACUGGGCGUAAAGGGCUCGUAGGCGGCCAACUAAGUCAGACGUGAAAUCCCUCGGCUUAACCGGGGAACUGCCUCUGAUACUGGAUGGCUUGAGAUUGGGAGAGGGAUGCGGAAUUCCAGGUGUAGCGGUGAAAUGCGUAGAGAUGUGGAGGAACACCGAUGGCGAAGGCAGCCCCCUGGGUCAAGAUUGACGCUCAUGCACGAAAGCGUGGGGAGCAAACAGG